rnacentral:tRNA from 1 species
GGUGAGGUGUCCGAGUGGCUGAAGGAGCACGCCUGGAAAGUGUGUAUACGGCAGCGUAGCGGGGGGUCAAUCCCCCCCUCACCGCCA